AGUGAACGCUGGCGGCGUGCCUAAUACAUGCAAGUCGAACGGAGUGGCGCACGGGUGAGUAAUGUAUAGCUAAUCUUCCCUACACUAGAGGACAACAGUUGGAAACGGCUGCUAAUACUCUAUAGUGUAGGAUGAGGCUAUAUUGUAUCAGCUAGUUGGUGAGGUAAUGGCUCACCAAGGCUAUGACGCAUAACUGGCCUGAGAGGAUGAUCAGUCAAACUGGAACUGAGACACGGUCCAGACUCCUACGGGAGGCAGCAGUAGGGAAAAGUGCCCAAGGGGGGUAACUCUGAAGCAGCAUCGCCGCGUGGAGGAUGACACUUUGCGGAGAGUAAACUCCUUUUGUUAGGGAAGCGGUACCUAACGAAUAAGCACCGGCUAACUCCGUGCCAGCCGCCGCGGUAAUAC
rnacentral:rRNA from 1 species